GUCAUACUGUUAACAGGUCAUGGAACUGUUCAGAUUAAGCUACCUAAUAUGUUAAGAGCAAACCAGUUGUGGUGAUGCUCGCCUUUAAUCCCAGCACUUGAGAGGCAGAGGCAAGUGGAUCUCUUGAGUUUGAAGCCAGCCUGGUCUACAGAGUGAGUCCAGGACAGCCAGGCUACACAGAGAAAUCACAUCUUGAAAAAAUAAAAGUUAAGAACAGUGCUUGGCAUGUGCGAACAUCAUCUUCUCAGCCUGUAAUUCCGGCUAAAGCCUUUAUCUUUCUUUUAAGAAUGUUUUUGUUACAUGUAUUUAUUGUGUGUGUCUGUGUGGGCAUGCGUAAGGACAGAGAACGAUUUGCAGGAGUCUGUUCUCUUUGUCUGCCAUGUGGGUCUCAGGGAUGGAGCUGUGGGCACGGGUCGGGUGUGGCAGCGGCAGGUCAGGGGUGGCAGCGGCAGCAGGCCCCUCUCCUCACCCACGUUUUUAUUUUUAUUUUCUGAAUGUUUUGCUUGCAUGCAUCUCUGUUCACCUCGUGUGUUCCUGGUGUCUGUAGUGGUCAUAAAAAGGCAUCGGAUGUCUCUGGAAUUGGAGUUACGGGUGGCUGUGGGCCGCCAUGGAGGUGCUGGGAAUCAGAUCUACGUCCUUUGUAAGAAUACCUGGUGCUCUUAGCCAAUGAGCCAUCUCUCCAGCCCCCAACUCAGUCACCUUGACAGCCCACUCCAGGCUAAUUCUGAGGACAGCCAUUUAUCAUGCUAUCACCAUGUAUUAGAGAACAUGAGAUCAUUUGUGCACAGAGAUACUGGCUUUAAGGUGGAAGUUUAUUUUGAGGGGAGGCAUUUGGGGCAGAGUAGAAUAGAGCUCACACUGA
rnacentral:lncRNA from 1 species